CCUACGUGUGGCUGCAGUCGAGAAUCAUUCACAAUGUGGGAAACCCUGAUGGUGCGACGCCGCGUGGGGGAAUGAAGGUCUUCGGAUUGUAAACCCCUGUCAUGUGGGAGAAAAUUAAAAAGAUAGUACCACAAGAGGAAGAGACGGCUACCUUUGUGCCAGCAGCCGCGGUAAUACAGAGGGCUCAAGCGUUGUUCGGAAUCACUGGGCGUAAAGCGUGCGUAGGCUGUUUCGUAAGUCGUGUGUGAACGGCGCGGGCACAACCCGCGGACGGCACAUGAUACUGCGAGACUUGAGUAAUUGAGGGGUGACCGGAAGUGUCGGUGUAGAAGUGAAAUGCGUAGAUUUCGAGAGGAACACUCGUGGCGAAGGCGGGUGCCUGGACAUUAACUGACGCUGAGGCACGAAGGCCAGGGGAGCGAAAGGGAUUAGAUACCCCAGUAGUC
rnacentral:rRNA from 1 species